rnacentral:tRNA from 1 species
GCCCCCGUAGCUCACCUGGAUAGAGCAUCGGUUUCCUAAACCGAGGGUAGCAGGUUCAAGUCCUGCCGGGGGUA